rnacentral:rRNA from 1 species
UACGUAGGGGGCAAGCGUUGUCCGGAAUUACUGGGCGUAAAGGGCGCGUAGGCGGCCUGCUAAGUCCGACGUGAAAUCCCAAGGCUUAACCUUGGAACUGCGUCGGAUACUGGAUGGCUUGAAUUCGGGAGAGGGAUGCAGAAUUCCAGGUGUAGCGGUGAAAUGCGUAGAUAUCUGGAGGAAUACCGGUGGCGAAGGCGGCAUCCUGGACCGACAUUGACGCUGAACGGCGAAAGCUAGGGGAGCAAACGGG